rnacentral:rRNA from 1 species
CCCCCAGUAAGGGCGACUGAACGGGGAGGAGCCCAGCGCGGAACCUCGCGCGCCUCGCCGGCUGCGUCUGAGGAAUGUCGCGUUUCGGAGGGGCCUUCUCCGACCACACCGACCCCCCCCAAGUCCGCUUGAACGCGGCCACUGCCCACGGAGGGUGCGAGGCCCGUACGGGGAUUAGGAGUCGGGCGGUCGGACGGCCCAGUCCGUAGAGUCGGGUUGCCUACUAACGCAGCCCAAAGCAGGUGGUAAACUCCAUCUAAGGCUAAAUAUGACCACGAGACCGAUAGCGAACAAGU